CCCUGACUAGUGAGGGAGAAGGAUUGGCUUCUGAGCUAAGGAACAGCAUCUUGGAUCAAGCAGUGUAGGACUCUGGCCCAGAUACCUGGCAGGCUGGGGCCUUUGCUAAGAGGGGUUGAGAAGGUGCAUAGGGCCAAAGGGGAAGUGGUGCAAGGGAGAGGAGGGCAGAAGGAGGCUGCCACUAGAGGGUCCCUGGGUUGGGAUGCAGAGUAGUGGGUGGGCCUUGGUUCUCCCCCCCCCCCCCAUUUCCCCUUUGUACUGUCCCUGGCCAUGGAGGAGAGAGGCUGAGACAGACUGUGACCUGUUCCUGAGACAAGGGACUAGAGUCUAGGGUUGUGGUUGGUCACCAAGGCAGGGAUAAAUGGAAGAACUGCUGUUAACAAUGCCCCCACCCCUAGAAGGGGAUGAGACCAGAGUGGUGGGCAGUGUCCUGAAGUGGAUGCAGAGUGUCCUGCAGAGGACGCUGCCGAAUAGGGAGCAACGUGGGUCCCAGGACAGUGGAGCGGAGACAACGGGCGAGCUACCAUGUGUUGAGGAUGCCCAGCAGCGGUCAAGAGCUAAUUCCCAGAGCAACCAGUUGGAGGCGUCAGCGGUGGUGCAUCCUGACUCUCACUAUGUAUGAGAUGAAGUCAAAGGAGGGAAUUUAAUAUCCAGCAGAAGCUUGUACAGUCUAGUAAAACUUCAAAAUCUAGGGGCCAGAUCCUCAGCUGGUAUAAAUCAGCAUAGCUCUAUUAAGCUCAGUGGUGCUAUAUUUAUUUACACCCAUUGAGAAUCUGGCUCCCUGUGUCUAAGAACAGUUGGUAACAGUGGUAAUUAAUCAAAAGAUAACCAUUCCAACCCACUGUGAAAACAAUGGAGACUAGAAUAUACGAAGACUACAUAAAGAGAUGAUUGUUGUGUUCUCUUCAACAGCUUUCUUAUUUUGUUUGCAAGAAUAUGGAUUUUUUCAUCUUGUUUUAAAGAAUUACUUCCAAUUUAAUCAGAUAUUGUAAUAGCAUAAUGAUGGGAUGGAAGUUAUAUUCAUUAUAUAUAGAUACAAUGCAAAACUUGGUGGAGGUUUUUUUUGGCAAUUUCCUGGAAAAUUGAGUAAUCUCUGAUUUCUGAUGCUUCAGAGGAUUAAUACUACCAGCAGUAAUGCCUCAGUUCCAACAGAGUAAUGUUUGUAAGCAACAUAAUUGGAAAUGAAUAGCUGCAUCAUACAGACAUUAACAUCUGCAUCAGCUGUGAAAUCUGAAGAUGGUCAUGUUGCACACUGGGGGCUGGCUGGAGUACACUUCAAUUGAACUGAAAGCAAUGAUAGUCAUGUGGAAGGCAAUGUUUAUAGAGGAUGCACCUUUAAUGAUCUAACAGUAAAUUGUGUAUAAAACAGCAUGCAAGCUUUUUAAUGUUUUUUUUUUUUUUUUUUAAGAAAUGGACUUCAUUGUCAAGGUUCAGUAACGAGCCCAUUCAUCUUCAGAAAGGGUUGGUCCUAUCUGAAGAAAUACAGAAAACAUAGGAUGUACAUUUCCUAAUUUCAUCAUCUUGUAGCUAUUAAGAAAUUGAACUAUAUUAUAUGAAAAACAAAACACUGAGAUGCCAGGAUGAGUAUUACUGAAGGAGGAAUGUGUUUCCCUUAACCUCCUUUUGGCAGCUCUUAGCUUGUCAAAAUUAUAAUAAAAGUGGUCCUUCAUUGAAACUGAAUGGAUGUUUGAUUGAAACAUUGCUUAAAUCUUCCUCUAUGAACAAUCUACACUAUAGGGCAUUCUAGCUAUAAACUUUGGAGGCUAUAUUUUUCUGAACUAACAAGAUGGCCCAGAGUACGUGUCAUCUAGAGGAGGUUAAUUUAAAGAUAGUUUCCAGCUCUCAUUCUCAACUCUCAGUUAAUGUUAAUGUACAAAUCAGUGUUUACAAUAUUGCAGAAUAAAAAUUUGAUAAA